rnacentral:rRNA from 1 species
UACGUAGGGUGCGAGCGUUAAUCGGAAUUACUGGGCGUAAAGCGUGCGCAGGCGGUUUUGUAAGCCAGAUGUGAAAUCCCCGGGCUUAACCUGGGAAUGGCAUUUGGGACUGCAAGGCUUGAGUGCGGCAGAGGAGACUGGAAUUCCUGGUGUAGCAGUGAAAUGCGUAGAUAUCAGGAGGAACACCGAUGGCAAAGGCAGGUCUCUGGGCUGACACUGACGCUCAUGCACGAAAGCGUGGGGAGCAAACAGG